UUAUUAUUAUUAUUUUAUUUAGUAUAUACAGUGACCCUUCAUCUAUUAAGCCGGUUCUAACUCACUAGCGCGUUGUAACCGUAACCGCAUGUUGCAUGUUACGUUACCAAAAAUCACAGUGUGUACGUGGUACGCGAACUUGUCGCGAACGGAACACGUGCUGUUCGCAGUGAGCCGACGAUAACCAGGACGACAACGAUCACUGCACCCAUACAUCGCUACGUGCUCGUCUGCGUUACCAAGGACGACCCUCUGCCCUUUGUGCACAAGUGCGAGUUCGUGCGAGCUAAUCGAACUCGGGACUACCCAUUUCCA